GUACUGUACUGCACCUACACUGCACCGAGACGGGAAGCCAGCCCAGCCAGUGUCCCGCUGUGUAUAUAUAGAUCUCCAAUGUUCCAUGGAGAUGACGGAGAUUAGGGUUCUCAUUGGCGUCGGCGGUUGCAGCAGGUUGCCAGGUUUGGACGUUUGGUUUGGUGUGCAGGUUUUAUGAGCACAAGGGGAGAGGGGGGUGGUCUGGAUUGGAGACAGGGAUGAGGCAGAGCAUGGGAUGGGGCCAUCAACAAAAAAAAAAAAAACCGUUUCUUCCACUGCGAAAGAAGAGGGGUUCUUCAUCAGGCACAGAAAAGAUUGAGAGCUCCGCUGGUGUUGUUGCUCCCUCCCCUGCACUGCCUCUUCCCUGGCUCCCCCAUCAUACCCGGCCCAUCAUCCCUCCCUCUAUCGAUGCCCUUUUGUUUUUUUUGCCUGCUUAUUAUUAUCUUUUCAUAGUACAAGUAGCAAUUUUGGUUUUUUUUCUUGGCAUUCUUUCUGGUAUAGAGAAUACUAGCUGCAACAUUUCAUAUUGAACUGGCCUAUCACAUUUGUUAUUUGUACUACCCCUCUAGCCUCUAAGUAGCCCGAAUAUUUUUUAACUCAAAUCUACUUUCCACUUUCUUCCUCCCGUGGAUGUUGAGACAAAACCUAUGACUUCGUGUGUUCUUAUAGUGGACUCUAUUUACUUGUACUUGAAGCUAUUUUUAGUACAGAUCAGGGGGACGCCACUCCGACGGAUGCAGUGGCGGAGCCACCACUAGGGCGAGCCCGGGCGGCCGCCCUAGGUGCUUCUAGACGAGAUCUAGAGCAUACUGUUAACAACAAAGGUAGCGGAGAACAAGAAGUAGGAUGGAUCUGAGGAACAUAAGAAGAACAAAGGAGAACAAGGAAUUAACUUUCAAAGGACAAAUUACUUGAGUAAAGAUGGUAGAUGCUUCCUCCGGUUCGUGGGUGCUGACAAUAUCCCCCGUUCUCAACUCCGAUCGGGGCUCAUGACGGUGCGAUGACGCCCCCCUCCCCCGAACGUGAGGACGACGGUCAUCUACUGCCAAGAGUUGCGAGACUCAGAUUGGGCCAAUGGAGCACUACAAGAGAGGACUUCGUGAUCUCGUGGACCAUCCGGUCGAGUGGGCUGUAGCCUCUUAAGAGGUUCAGCCUAGCCCCAGCCCAACGCUGCGUCUUCUUGCCACCAGACGCUGCUGGCGAUUUUGGCAGUUCACCAUCCACCCCCCUUCCUGCAGUCCCGCUCAGGCACUCACGCCGACGCAUUGCUAUCGUUGCAUGAUGGCGCUCCGCGUCCGUCCGUCCGUCCUGCAACCCCAACUCGACACCCGCCAGCCGCGUCAGCGGAUCCCGUGCACCGCUGCCGCGGGCGCUUACAACCGGGCAGCAAUCUUCGGCGCAUCACUUUGGCCGUGCGAAAAUUUUGAUGUUGAACUCCGCCCUAGGUCAUUUUUUGGGCUGACUUCGCCACUGGACGGAUGGAAGGAAAGGCAACAGCUGAAGAUUCAAGAUUGCUCUGAACAAGGCCAUUGGAAAUGCCUAUUAGAUGCCAAUUCAUAGUUACAUUUCCAUAUUUGUUUUUCAUGUAUCAGUUUCUUCUGUAUAUACAUAUUGUAUAUACAUAUGUAAUCUAGUAAAGAAUAGGUUUUGGAGGAGCCAAGUCCCAUGGUGCUUCGUCGGCGAGCUCUGCAUCCGGCAUGGUCGCGUAGCAGCUACUGGUUUGGGGCUCCAUGGGGUGGCUGUCUUACUGCGGCGUGAAGGUUUGGGUGUGGAAGUUGUAGGCGAAAGCUAUGCUGGGUUCUUCAACUUGUGGCAACGGCGACGUCUGCGGACGUCUCAAAAUGACUUUGAAUUUUUUUUGAUAGUGCGUUGCUUGAGAGAAA